AUGACUUGCCCCACAGCCUUCACCUGGUCCAGGGAUCCCAACUCCUUCAAAUCUUCCUUUUUUUCUUUCUUUUUUUUUUUUUUUCCCCUAGGGCAGCUAGAGCUUAGGCAUCUCACAUGUUGCACUUUUGUGUGGAACGCAGUUGUUACCUACAUUAAAGAUUUGAAGGAGUUGGGGAGUGAUACACUGUGGCUCAGCUGGUUAGGAACCCAACUAGUAUUCAUAAGGAUGCAGGUUCCAAUCCUGUCCUUACUCAGUGGAUUAAGGAUCUGGCGUUGCCGCAAGUGACAGCAUAGCUACAGAUAUGGCUUGGAUCUGGUGUUGCUGUGGCUGUGGUGUAGGCCAGUAGAUGCAGCUCUGAUUCGACCCCUGGCCCAGGAACUUCCAUAUGCUGCAGGCGCAGCCCUAAAGGGAUGGAAGGGAGGAACAAAGGAAGGAAGGAACGGAAGGAACGGAAAGGAAAGGAAAGGAAAGGAAGGAAGGAAGGAAGGAAGAAAGAAGAAAGAAAGAAAAGAAAAAGAAAAGGAAAGAAAGCGAGAGAGAGAGGGAGGGAGAAAGAAGAGAAAAGAAAAGAAAACAUCCUUGUCUGCACCCACAGCAAUAUCAGGACCGUCUCAACUCCAGGUCUGCCUCUCUGAUGGGACUGUAAGUUCCUGGAGGCUGGAAGUAAAGGGACUUGCUCAACAUCACGUGGCAAACGUACACGGAAUUGGAAUCCCCAAAGAUCGAAAAUCACUCAUCACUUUCCUGGUUCCUCUGAACUUGCCCCACACUUGUGUAGAAGCAAACUUGGAAGGAAGGCGGGAGGGAGGGUAGGAUGAAAGGCCUCCCAUUACGUAAUCAAAAAUGUUAAGAGUCAGUCUGCCGGAUGCUUAAGGAGGCCGUCCAGGAGGGGGGACCUCAAACUCAGACUUUCAAAGUCAUCUCAAGAUAACUCUACAGGCACGGAACAUGUACGCACUAAAAGCAUUAAUGUGAACAAUGUGUACAUUUUAAACACCUGUUGCUAAAAUCCUGUUUUGGCGUUUCUUCACUGUUUUUUAAAUACCGGCCCUGGCCACUUGGGAGUGGCCAUAAGGAUUCCUCAGACCUCUGGUCCCAGCAAAUGAAGCAAAUGUCAGCUAUCCCACCCAAAAACCAAAAAAAAAGGCAGGAGGGAAUCUUGGCAAAAUUCUAGCUGCGAUUACAGUUCUUUAGGGUCUUUAUGCUUCGUCCUCUCCCCCGUGCUUUGGAGGAGGGGUCCCAGGAGAAGUGAGUUACUAAGGCUCUUAGCCGGGAGGAGGGUCUCAGGUCUCUGCUCCUGUGGCGGACGUCUGUGGUUUCUCCACGUCCCGCUGGCUUGCAACAAAGACAGACACGGAGAACCUGUUCAUUGAGUCCUGGGUGAUUUUAUGUACACUUGUCUUCUCAUUUAUAUCUCACCCAGCUCUUUUAGAUAUUACUAUUAUUAUUACUAUGCCCAGUUUAUAGGCUAUAGACUCAAUGAGGUUAAGUUAAAAGCCAGGAAACGGCUGGGAGGGAAACUAGCUUGUUGUGAGACCUAAAUGAGAUAAUGUACCUAAAAGGCUCGACACGCAGUAAAUCAGCAACUAGCAGCUCUUACUAACAUAAGCAGAAGCCAACCAGCUCUGGGUAAUACAUUUCAUUCUUUAAAAGAGAAGAGGGGAGUUCCUGUCGUGGUGCAGUGGAAACGAAUCCAACUAGGAACCAUGAGGUUGCCGGUUCGAUCCCUGGCCUUACUCAGUGGGUUAAGGAUCCAGCGGUGCAUGAGCUGCGGUGUAGGUCGCAGAUGCCACUCGGAUCCCGCAUUGCUGUGGCUGUGGCAUGGGCUGACAGCUGUAGCUCCAAUGAGACCCCUAGCCUGGGAACCUCCAUAUGCCAUGGGUGCGGCCCUAAAAAAGGACAAAAGGCAAAAAAAAAAAAAAAAAAAGAGAGAGAGAGAGAGAGAAGGGGUAUAGAACUCUAUUCAAUAUUCUGUAAUAACCUACAUGGGAAAAAAAUCUGAAAAAUAAUGGAUAUGUGCAUAUGCAUAACUGAAUCACUUUGCUGUAGACCUGAAAUUAACACAACAUGGUAAAUCAACUAUACUUCAAAAUAAAAUUAAAUUUAAAUUUAAAAAAAAAAAAGGU
rnacentral:lncRNA from 1 species